CGAAGCAGAGUGAUCGCGUUUCCAUCCUUUCGCCAAGAGUGCUGAACGGGUAGCACAUUUUCGUCGAAAAUUGUACAUUUCUCAGUUCAGAACGUUUCGAAAAUAUUGCAAUUCGGUAGUGUUAAAGUUGGUGCUACAGUUUUACUAUCUGUAGACACGAAAAGUUGGUGAAAAUUUGUGAUAUUUGCAAUUCUUUUUCGGCCGACGACGAACGAGAAAAAAAGUAGCAGCGAAAAUUUGCUGCACUAGUGUGCGUGAAAGAUCGGCGUCGUGUGGUAGAAGAUUGGAAACAGUGCAAGCUGUCAAAUGUUUGUUGCUUCCGCUUGCUGCGUACGAACGGUUACAGCAUCAGGGAAGUCAUUGUAAAUAGAGCCGGUGGAGCUUGCUAGAACUCGACGAUGUCCUACCCAUCAAGACCACCACCGACAAUUGUGCCGGCGGGAAUGCCCUUCGCGAUGGCCCCACCAAUAAUGCCUCCGAUGAUGCCAGUCGGAUUGCCACCGAUGAGUCAGCCCCCACCUGGUGGAAGGGCUACUUUUCACGGACCGCCACCCACGAUCGGUUCUCGUCCGCAGAUGUACAAUCAUAUGAACAACCAUCAUGACAAGCACCGUGGUGAUCGGGUAGGCGGUGUUCAGGUACCGAAUCCCGCACCUACCUACGACGGGCCGGUAAUCACUGUCUUCAUUGGAAACAUCAGCGAUAAAGCACCCGAUCCAAUGAUUAAGAAGAUUCUCGCAUCGUGCGGAACGGUCAUCAACUGGAAGCGGGUGUCCACCUUUGGGUUUUGUGAGUACGAUGGUGCCGUAGCAGGUGCGCGUGCCGUCCGAUUGCUUCACGAUCUUGAAAUUGGCGGUAAAAAGCUGGUGGCCAAGGUUGACGCCAAAAAUAAGGCUUUGCUUGAUAACUACAAAGAGGAAGAGACUGCCGGUGGUGAUGAAAAUUUCGAACGGAGGUGUGAUGACGAAUCGACCGAUUUGAUCAGAAGGAUUAUGGAAGAGUUUCGAGAGGAUUUUUCUGGUGGUGACCCGGACGACGAAGCUGCACCAACAAAACAGAAAAAACAACUACAGUCGGUGCACCUGGAAGAGGGUAAGCGGGAAAUAAUCAGCCAGGAGAUUGGUAAGUUUCGCAAGUAUACUGAAGCUGAGGAACUUAAAAAAGAGAAGGAAAAGGAGCGUAGGAAAGCCCGGGACGAGAAAAAGUCUGAAAAGUCCGACGGGGACAAGAAACGGUCAGUUUCACCUAAAAAAGAAAAGGAUAAAGAGAAAAAAUCACGGAGGCGAAGUCGGUCACGAUCGAGGGACCGCGAACGUGAGCGCGAGCGAGAAAGAGAACGUGAGAAGGAAAGGGAACGUGAACGGGAGCGGGAACGGGAAACCCGUGAACGGAUAGAGCGGGAAAACCGGGAACGGGAGGCACGGGACCGCGAACGGGAACGUGAACGCGAAAGAGAAAGGGAGCGUGAACGGGAAUUGCAAAACCGAAACCCACGAGACAUUCAGAAAGAGAAAGAAAUAGAAGAGGAAGCAAGAGAUCGUAGAAAGGCGGAAAAGAAGGCCAAGGAAAAGGAGGCCGCCUAUCAGGAGAGAUUGCGGAAUUGGGAAGCUCGCGAGCGACGAAAGACCAAGGACUACGAGAAGGAUCGCGAAAGAGAACGAUGCAGGGAGGAAGAACGGGAAAGAGAAGCAAAGCGGCUUAAGGAAUUCUUGGAGGACUAUGAUGAUGAACGGGAUGAUCCAAAAUAUUAUAAGGGACGAGAACUGCAGCGACGCUUGGCAGAGCGUGUCCGCGAAGCCGACCAAGAUUCGAAGGACCGCAACAAAGAACAGGAAGAGCUUGACGAGCUGAAGAAUAAAAUUUUCUCCGGCGAGUAUGAUAACCCAACGUUAGAAUUUGAAAAGUUGAAAAAACAACGCGAGGACAUGUACCGGCCCAAGAUUUUGAUCGAUGUUAAUCUGGAGCAAUCGCAGCAACGUGAGCGCGAGCUCGAGCGUGAACGGCAGCGUGAACUAGAGCGACAGCGUGACAAGGAACGGGUGCGCGCCAAUAAGGAACGCUAUGUCCUAGCUCAGGCCUCCCGUGAGUUGGCAGCCAUUGAUGCGGAACCGAUUGAGUCUGAUUCCAGUGGUCACGACGAUAAUAACUUCGACUCCCCCGGUGUGAUUGCAACCAAUAAUAAUCACCACCACGUCGGUAACAAUAGCCUGCCUCACCAUCCGCAGCAUGCCGGAUCGGAAACGCGAGAUUCGUUCGGGUUUGGUUCAGGUCCUGCUACCAUUUUCGAUAGUGGACCAAGUAUGAUGGAACCCGAGGAGGAUGCUUCCCGUCAUUCAAUGCGUUCGAACUCGAACACAAUGAUGAUGCACAGCCCUGGAGCAAAUAGUAAUAGUGAAAUGAAUUCCCUGCCGGAGAAGCCUCAACCUAUCGCACCCACCAUCAGUCUCAGUUUGAACGCAAAUGCUAAAAAGAAGAAGUUGGAAAUGAAGGACGUUUUCAACAAUAUGGACGACGAUGGAGAGGAGUCGAAUGGUCCUAAGAAGCGAAAGUUGGUGCCCUUGGUUAUAGUUACAGAAGACGAGAAAAAGGCACAGAACGCUGCGGCCGUUCAGACGGGCUCAUCACAGCACUCUAGUUCAAAGGGUACCUCCAAAAGUAAGAGUGGUGAGGACGCUUCCGGUACCAGUAGCAGAUCCAGUCGUGAUACGAUCAAAUCGCAGGAGGAGAAACGGCGGCACAUUAAGAGUAUUAUCGAUAAAAUACCCACUGAAAAGAACGAUUUGUUCAAUUAUCCUCUAGACUGGAACGAGAUUGAUGCCACGAUUGAAAAGAAAAUUCGCCCGUGGAUCAAUAAGAAGAUUAUCGAAUACAUUGGAGAGCCAGAGCCAACGCUGGUGGACUUUAUUUGUUCGAAAGUGUUGGCAGGAAGCACUCCGCAGGGAAUACUGGAUGAUGUUAUGAUGGUCCUGGACGAAGAAGCUGAGGUGUUUGUGGUUAAAAUGUGGCGGUUGUUAAUCUAUGAGGUCGAAGCCAAGAAGGUUGGACUUACGAAGUAGUGCUCCGUGGGAAUCCAAGAUGAUCAUCGGUGCUGCUUCCGGAAGACCGCAGCUCAGAACUGGACAUCUUAUCGAACGCCGACAAACAUGGUAAUGCGUAAUAUCGCACCAUCGAUUAACGUCAAUUGAUUCUGGUUCCGGUUUCCGUGCUGGUGGUGAUGAUGAUGGUGCCGGUCGGAUACUUUGUCCGUCCCAUUCACAACUCCUCUCCAUCUCUUCUGGCCUUUGAACGGUUCCUUUGGGGCUUCCUGUCACAGAAUCGCGUCUUGCCGCCUACUGGCUCUUUGAGGUGAUGAGUUUAAUCUGGCUCGCUGCAGGAGGCAAAGGUGAUUAACACACAAGGAAGAACUGGUUUAACAAGUCUACAACAAUUCAAGUUGGAUGGUUUCUCCAGAAAAAUAACCAUAAAGUUAAAGCUGCCAUAACUAAGUGAAUAAAUUGGAUGAUGGUAUCUUAAUACAAUGACGGAAGUACUGAUGCUGGCGCACUUGGGGGCAAACAUGCUGUGAUAAUCGUUAACACAGUAGAUCUUGUUGUCCACGUCGACGGUGAAUGGCACUCCAUCGAGGCACUCAUUGCAUACACAGCACCGGAAGCAGCCCGGGUGGUAGGAUUUUC